rnacentral:rRNA from 1 species
AUUGAACGCUGGCGGCAUGGUUAAAGCAUGCAAGGUCGCACGAGUAUAGUGGCGAAAGGGCGAGGAAUACGAUCGAACGUGCCCCGAGGUUGGGAUAGCGUGCGGGAAACUGCAGGUAAUACCUAAUGACCUCUAAGGAGAAAAGCCGCAAGGCGCCUUGGGAUCGGCGAUCGUCCUAUCAGGUAGUUGGCGGGGUAACGCCCACCAAGCCGAAGACGGGUAGCGGGUGUGAGAGCACGACCCGCCGCAUCGGGACUGAGACACUGCCCGGACUCCUACGGGAGGCUGCAGCGACGAAUCUUCCGCAAUGGGCGCAAGGCCUGACGGAGCAAGUGCCGCGUGUGGGAUGGAAGCAGCUUCGCUGUGUAAACCACUGUCAGGGGGCAGGAACAC